UUCUUUGCUGGCGACCGGCGCACGGGUGAGUAACACGUAUCCAACCUGCCCUUUACUCGGGGAUAGCCUUUCGAAAGAAAGAUUAAUACCCGAUAGCAUAAUGAUUCCGCAUGGUUUCAUUAUUAAAGGAUUCCGGUAAAGGAUGGGGAUGCGUUCCAUUAGGUUGUUGGUGAGGUAACGGCCCACCAAGCCUUCGAUGGAUAGGGGUUCUGAGAGGAAGGUCCCCCACAUUGGAACUGAGACACGGUCCAA
rnacentral:rRNA from 1 species